GAAUAUAAAAUCUAGGCUCUCGAGAAUAAUAGUAAUUGUUGUUUAGAAUUUUGUGUACCAUGAGAAUAGGGUGCAGUUAGUUGUAGAAGAAUUAGUUGGACUUCAAAAUCAACUAGACCAUGAACCUGAACCAGAACCAUUUGAACCUCAAAUUAUGUACAAAGGCAAAGGAAAAGGGGUGAAAGGAAAGAAAAGCAAAAACUGCGGAAGAUUUGUGAAAAAGAGUUCAGGCAUGAGCAAUGAGAGAGAUGAUCCUGGAACCCCUGAUGAACUACCAGAUCCACACCUUAAUCAAAUUCUUCCAGAAGUUCUACCGGAGCAAACAGGUUUUAGUCCUUCCUUCACAAUAUCCUCUGGGUCUAGUUCUAGUGAGAGGAGUUAUGGUUCCCAAGCUAUAUCUCCGGAUAUACCAGAUGAACUACCGGAGAAACCUCAGGAGAAACCACCUCAACUAAACCAAAAUACUCUUAUUAAACCAAAGAAGGAAAAGACUCGUAAGUCCACAGAACGUAGAGCUGUUAAACGUAAGGCUGGAGAUCUUGAGGAGCAUAUGCUUCAUGGUCCAUUCAACUUCAAGGCACAUAGAGCACCUGGUGUCAAAAAGGAGAAAACAUCUUCUAAUCUUAGAGACGAACUCAUCACUGUUGUCAUGCAAGCAGGCCGCAAACCUGCCAAAGUUGCGAAGACCAAUUCAGUGGAAAUCAUCGAAGAGGACAUUAAACCUGUUGUAUUGGCUGCACCUGAUAUUCCUGAAGUUUUGGUUUUAUCUCCAAUACCUCCAGCUCCUCCAGUUCUAGCUGCUCCAACUCCAGCUCCUCCAGCCGCUCCAGCUCUUAUAGCUGCUCCAGCUGCUAUUUCUAACAAGGAGAUAGAUGAUCUCGUAGGAAACCUUUGUGAGAUGUUUCAAGAAACAGACCCUUCAUAUAUUCGUCUCAGAGCUGAGGAUCUGGUGGGUAAACCUGCAGCCCUGGAUAGGUUUACUAUGGAGUUAAUCCAGGAUCCUAAUCCACCAGUAAACUGGAGACAAAUAUAUUCUAUACCUCUUCACCAGGUACAAACACCACCACCUCCUCCUCCACCUCCUCCCCAGCUUUUUAUACAGCAGAGAGACAUCAAGCCUUCGACCCCUCCGGUCCAUACAGACGACAUGGAAGAAAUACAUCUGCCUGGCAUUUCCAAGAUAAAGAAUGAGAUUGGUUCCCGGGCCCAAACUCCUGUGCAAAGUGGAUCCUGGAUGCGAACUCCUUCCGAAGGUGGUUCCAGGUCCCAAACUCCUUCUGAGGGUGGUUCCAGGUCCCAAACUCCUUCAGAGGGAGGUUCCAGAGCUCAGACUCCAGUGCAGGAUAGAUCUAGGAACCCUACCCCUUCCGAAGACCUCGGUGAGGUUGAGGUGGAUCCCCAGGAGGAACUAGAGAAGGAGAUGAUGACAGGGAUGCGUUCCUUGUUCCCUGAUCUUUGUCCAGCCUGGAUUCAAGAUCAAAUAUAUCAGAUAGUUAGAUCUGAAAUUAAAGAUAUUCAAGAGCUUCAUAGAUUAUUUCAAACUAAGGUUGAAGCAAUAUUCAGUUUACCGGCGGAAGAAAGGAAAUCUCUACCAACAUACAAGGACUGGGAGAAAAAGCAGAGGGAGAUGAAGGAACUAGAGAAGUGGUCUGGACAGAUGACAGUUUCGGAUAUGCUUGAUUUAUUUCAAGACCCUGUAGCCUACUUCACGGAUCCCUCAAGGGAGAUGAAGGAUGAAGGAUAUAAACAACAGUGUGUCGUUGCACUCAAGGAAGCUUUCAGAUACCAUUCUAACGCGGAUGUUGAGAAAGCUCUACGCCAGGGUAAAGGACUGUUUGCCCUCACAUAUAAGAUACUUAAGAACAGGCCCAAUUCUAGGAAAACUAAACGGUCUGAUCAUGAAGUUCGUCACGUGGCAGGUCCCCCCUGUAUCCAUCUCCUCAAGGAGAAGAAGUUCGUCGAGUUGGAGGAAAUGAUCAAGGUCGAGCUCAAGAACAGGGAGGAGAGGAGGCUCGAGAUGAUUGAGGAGGCUAGAACAGCUGGUAUUCUGGUAGAAUGUAGUUGCUGCUACUCCGACGAAUGUCUGGAUGAAGAUAUGAUCUCCUGCAACAAUAACCAUAUGUUCUGUAAGGAAUGUGUAUCCCGGGGUGCUAGUGUUGCUAUAGGAGAUGGUAAAACUAUAAUUGAAUGCCUUGGAAUGUGUAGUGAAGAGAUAAGCUGGCAGGAACUACAAAGAGCUCUAACUCCUAAUGUUCUCUCGAAACUUCUACAGAAAAGACAAGCGGCAGAGGUUGCCACUGCAGGAUUGGAGGGAAUAGUGACCUGUCCGUUCUGCCCUUACAUGACAAUAAUGGAUGACGUAAACGAUAAGAUAUUGGUGUGUAAGAACCCUGACUGCGGACGUGAAUCCUGUAGAUUGUGUAAAGAACCAAACCAUGUUCCCCUCAGGUGUGAGGAGGUGGAAAGUAGGGACGAAGAGACUCAACGAAAGAAAAUAGAAGAAAAACUUUCUCAAGCAAUGAUUAGGGAGUGCCAUAAAUGCAAGACUAAAUAUUUUAAAGAAGAAGGAUGCAAUAAGAUGACAUGUCCGAAGAAAGGUUGUGGAGCUAAAAUGUGUUAUCUCUGUAAAGAACCAGUUCAGGGUUACGAACACUUCUAUGGACAGGGAGGUACCCCUGGUAAAGAAAAGAAGUGUCCCCUCUGGAGUGAUUCUAAAUCUCUACAUGAGAAGGAGAUUGCUUUAGCAGCUCAAGAGGCACGAGAGGAACUUGCAGAGAAUAAUAUUACACUAAGGGAUAGUGUAAACCCAACCAAGGGUAUUCCUGAUCCAACUACUAUCAAGAUGAAGGAUCCCUUCCCAGGUAUACCAGCAGGUGGAGUAGGAGGACAUUACGGAGGAUUAAUGGUCCAACCUGAGUUAAUGGGUAUGAUGGCGAGGAUGGGUGAGAUCUAUAGAAUACGUGAGGCUGGUAGAGCUCACCAGAGGCUAGCCAGGAUAGAGGAGGAGAGGGCUCUCAGAGAUCUUAGGCGUAAUCAGUGGGUUCAUCAUCAACCUCAACCUGUUCAAUAUCAUUACCAUCCGUAUCCUCCUCCUCCUCAACCUAAUCCUCCACAUCAACCCCUCCCACCUGCUCAACAGCUUAUCAAUCAUCAUCCCAUUCAUCAACAACAUGGUGUCAAUCCAAUAGGAGUUCAUCACAUGUACAAUCCUGUACAAACCCAUCCUGUACACCAUCAUCCUGCUCCUAAUCAACCCUUAAACCCUCCUCCUCCUCCUCCGCAACAGCCUAAUCUUAUAAAUGAUCCCAUGUAAUGGUGUGAUGUGACCUUAACUAAUGCUCAACUGAAAAUAAUGACUGUUAAACAAAGGCUUCUCUGAUUACCACAAAUAAGAUAAUAUGCAACCAAAAUACAAGAUAAUCUGCAACCAAAAUACUUUCGAUAAUUUUAUAAAUUUAGAUAAUUACUAGUUCAGUAAAAGUUUAUUUGAAUAUUCAAAUAACAUGUUAAAUUUAGAAAUACAAAACUAAAUUUCAUGUAAUUGUUAAAUUGUCAAAAUUGUUGGACAUACAUGUAAACUAAAAUUUGGAAUAAAUCCUAUGUAAUUAGAA